UACGAAGGGGGCUAGCGUUGCUCGGAAUCACUGGGCGUAAAGCGCACGUAGGCGGAUCUUUAAGUCAGGGGUGAAAUCCCAAGGCUCAACCUUGGAACUGCCUUUGAUACUGGGGAUCUCGAGUCCGGAAGAGGUGAGUGGAACUGCGAGUGUAGAGGUGAAAUUCGUAGAUAUCCGCAAGAACACCAGUGGCGAAGGCGGCUCACUGGUCCGGUACUGACGCUGAGGUGCGAAAGCGUGGGGAGCGAACAGG
rnacentral:rRNA from 1 species